rfam:TPA: Bos taurus chromosome 15, whole genome shotgun sequence.
UCCCUGGUGGCUCAGAUGGUAAAGCGUCUGUCUACAGUGCAGGAGACCCGGGUUCGAUCCCUGGGUUGGGAA